AACGGCUCAGUAACACGUAGAUAAUUCGCCCUUAGGUGGAGGAUACCCUCGGGAAACUGAGAAUAAUACUCCAUAGAUUUAGAAUGCUGGAAUGCUUUUAAAUUGAAAGAUUUAUCGCCUAAGGAUAAGUCUGCGGACUAUCAGGUCGUAGUUAGGGUAAAUACCUGACUAGCCUACGACGGAUACGGGUUGUGAGAGCACUAGCCUCCGAGAUGAUAUCUGAGACACGAUAUCAGGCCCUACGGGGCGCAGCAGGCGCGAAAACUUCGCACUGUGCGAAAGCACGACGAGGGAAUCCCAAGUGCUGGCUCGUAAGAGUCAGCUGUUUCUUUGUCUAAAAAACAGAGAGAGUAAGAGCUGGGUAAGACGGGUGCCAGCCGCCGCGGUAAUACCUGCAGCUCAAGUGGUGGCCGCUAUUAUUGGGCCUAAAACGUCCGUAGCCGGUUCUAUAAAUGCCUGGGUAAAUCGUACGGCUUAACCGUACGAAUUCCGGGUAGACUGUUCAACUUGGGACCGGGAGAGGCUAGAGGUACUCCUGGGGUAGAGGUGAAAUUCUGUAAUCCUAGGGGGACCACCAGUGGCGAAGGCGUCUAGCUAGAACGGGUCUGACGGUGAGGGACGAAGCCCUGGGGAGCAACGGGAUUAGAUACCCCGGUAGUCCAGGUGUAACGCUGCUCGCUUGAUGUUAGUCGGGCUCCGAGC
rnacentral:rRNA from 1 species